CUCUGGGUGGGAGAACAUGGUGUUAGCUACGAUAGGUAACUGUUAGCCAACGACAUUAGGUAGCACAGCACAACUUACAAGAUGGAUAUCGUUCCAAACGCCGGAGUUACAAGAGAAAGGAAAGGUUCAAGCAGAGGACAUCUCACUUGCAAGACCCAAGCAGGACAUCUCUGCAGCGACAGCGCACUGACCCAUGGUUUAUCAGAGCGAUAUGCUGUACGACCAUACCUGUUGUCCUCAGUAGAGAUAUGCUCAGUUAGAUUGCCACACAUUGCACAUACCAACGGACGACAGAUGUUUUAUUCAUGGAAGGAAGAUAUUGUACAUUCUUUGAAGCACAUUUCAGGUUUUAUGAAGAGGCCAGGGGCGGGGCCUUGGAUCAAGUGUUCUCAUUUCUGAAUUCAUCAGAUUGCAGAGAAUGUAAUCAGUGAUUCCAAUCAUACACCCUGGACUUGGAGGUCAGGUUGAAAAGCGACUCGUAGGCUAUGUUAACAAUGUCUCAUUUUUCAUCUGCCCAAAAUAAUUCUACAGACAAUUCCCAUGUGUUUUUCCUGGACACCACCACCGCAUUUUCUAUUGUAUUCCAAUCAAGUUUUUAGUAGAAAGUGAAUAAAACUUCUGAAAGUUA